GCGGCCGUGGUGCAGUGGUAGCACACCCCGUACAAGCGAGGAAACGAGGGUUCGAUUCCCUACGGACGCU